UACGUAGGGACCGAGCGUUGUCCGGAAUCAUUGGGCGUAAAGAGCGUGUAGGCGGCUUGUUAAGUCUUGCGUGAAAUCUCGGGGCUCAACCCCGAGCGGUCGUGAGAAACUGGCAGGCUAGAGUGCGGGAGAGGAGAGUGGAAUUCCUGGUGUAGCGGUGAAAUGCGCAGAUAUCAGGAAGAACACCCGUGGCGAAGGCGGCUCUCUGGAACGCAACU
rnacentral:rRNA from 1 species